AUUAGGGAAGAGGAGAGGAAGAACUGAAGGAGAGUGAGGGAACAGUUUCAGAGAUGUUUUAUGCAUUUUGAACAUGCAAAAUAAAUCAGCUCUCCACAUACAUCUACUACUCCUUAGAGAAUGAGGUUGGCCUAGUUGAAUCUGAUGAGGUUGACUGUUAUGUGACCAAGGAGGACUUAAUAAAUCAUGACAUUUGAAGAACAUCCUGAGUUCAAAGGUGGAAUCCAGUCAGUGUGCAUUAACUAUUAUAAAACAAUCGUGAAGUUAAAAUUCCAUGCAACAAAUGGAUCCAGGUAUAGUAUCUAAAAAUCUUUGAAGAUUUGGAUAACCAAAUUAGGGCAUUCAUAAAAGUCAUAAAAUACAGCCAUAAAGAAUAAUGUUUCAAGU